CAAGUCGAACGAGAAAGUCCGCAAGGAUGAGUAAAGUGGCGUACGGGUGAGUAACACGUGGAUAACCUGCCCUUUAGUGGGGAAUACCGCUGGGAAACCGGCGACAAUACCGCAUAAGCUCGAGAGAGGAAAGCAGCAAUGCGCUGAAGGAGGGGUCCGCGGCCGAUUAGCUAGUUGGCAGGGUAAAAGCCUACCAAGGCUGUGAUCGGUAGCCGGCCUGAGAGGGCACACGGCCACACUGGCACUGAAACACGGGCCAGACUCCUACGGGAGGCAGCAGUGGGGAAUCUUGCACAAUGGGGGAAACCCUGAUGCAGCGACGCCGCGUGAGCGAUGAAGCCCUUCGGGGUGUAAAGCUCUUUCGGCAGGGACGAUUAUGACGGUACCUGCAGAAGCAGCUGCGGCUAACUACGUGCCAGCAGCCGCGGUAAUACGUAGGCAGCAAGCGUUGUUCGGAGUUACUGGGCGUAAAGGGUGCGUAGGCGGCUUCUUAAGUCUGGUGUGAAAUCUCCCGGCUCAACUGGGAGGGUGCGCCGGAUACUGAGGGGCUAGAGUGUGGGAGAGGAAAGUGGAAUUCCUGGUGUAGCGGUGAAAUGCGUAGAUAUCAGGAGGAACACCGGUGGUGUAAACGGCUUUCUGGACCAUAACUGACGCUGAGGCACGAAAGCGUGGGUAGCAAACAGGAUUAGAUACCCUGGUAGUCCACGCCCUAAACGAUGCAUAUUUGGUGUGGGCCAUUCAUUUGGUCCGUGCCGGAGCUAACGCGUUAAAUAUGCCGCCUGGGGAGUACAGUCGCAAGGCUGAAACUCAAAGGAAUUGACGGGGGCCCGCACAAGCGGUGGA
rnacentral:rRNA from 1 species